ACUGCCCACCCACUCAGCCCAUGGGGAGGCAGUUUGGGAAGGGAGGCCCAAGGGGAUGCAAGGGCUUCAGCUCCCCUGUCCGUCUCCUCAUCUGCAAAGUUAGGGAGCCCGUCUGGAAUAUCUCUGGGAUCCUUUCCGACUAUCCAUUCCAGCCUUCGGACAAGUUCUGCAUAUUAAGCCAGGGGAUCCCCAGAGCUAAGUUUCUUUCCUUAUUUGUCUUCCAGGAGGUGCUUAGAGCUGCAAGGAGCGCCCCUUCCCAUUAUGGGUAAUCAGGUGAUCUGCUGUGUGGCUCUUUGUCUCCUCGGAGCAGGCACAGCGGCUGGUGGAAUCACUCAGACCCCAAAAUACUUGUUCAGAGAGGAAGGACAAGAGGUGACUCUGGAAUGUCAACAGGAUUUUAAUCAUGACUCUAUGUACUGGUACCGACAGGACCCAGGGCAAGGGCUAAGACUGAUCUACUACUCGCUGACAGAAAAUGAUAUUCAGAAAGGAGACAUACCUGAAGGCUACAGUGCCUCUCGGGGGAAGAAAGCAUUCUUCCCCCUCAUUGUGACAUCGAUUCGAAAGAACCAGACAGCUCUAUAUCUCUGUGCCAGUAGUGCAGACACAGUGAAGCCCAGCCAUUCGGGG